UACGUAGGGUGCGAGCGUUAAUCGGAAUUACUGGGCGUAAAGCGUGCGCAGGCGGUUUUGUAAGCCAGAUGUGAAAUCCCCGGGCUUAACCUGGGAAUGGCAUUUGGGACUGCAAGGCUGGAGUGCGGCAGAGGAGACUGGAAUUCCCGGUGUAGCAGUGAAAUGCGUAGAUAUCAGGAGGAACACCGGUGGCGAAGGCGGGUCUCUGGGCCAUUACUGACGCUGAGGAGCGAAAGCGUGGGGAGCGAACAGG
rnacentral:rRNA from 1 species